AAUUGCAGAUUGUGAGCUAUGAGCCUAUGACGAAAGGGGCAUAAUUCAAGGAACGACGAAAUCACAAGCCGCUUGAUUAUUUAGAAUCUAGACACAAAGCUGAUAUUCUUAAGGCGAAAGAGGAUAGAUACACAUCCCCACCCUAAGAAAGACUUGAAUAAUUUGAAGACUCCAACUUGCAGACUUAAAGAAUUUGAGGACCUCAACUUGCAGACUUGAAGAAUUUGAAGACCUCAACUUGCAGACUUGAAGAAUUUGAAGACCUCAACUUGCAGACGUGAAGAGUUUGAAGACCUCAAUUUGCAGACUUUGAAGAAUUUGAAGACUUCAACUUGCAGACUUGAAGAAUUUGAAGACUUCAACUUGCAGACUUAAAGAAUUUGAAGACUUCAACUUGGAGACUUUAAAGAAUUUGAAGACUUCAACUUGUAGACUUAAAGAAAUUGAAGA